rnacentral:lncRNA from 1 species
CACAGAAGUGCUGGCAACUGAGCUUGUGGUACCUUGUGGUAAAAACAUGCACAAGCACUAGCAUCGACCCAUUGGUUGUAAGAAAAACUCGUCAUAGAAACCAGGAUAAAAAAACUUCACCUAUAUUUUCAUUUAAAACUGUAAUCCAAAUGUACACUUCUUAAAAUGUAAACAACAGGCAGUUGUCUGCAUAAUAUGUCCUGCCACCG